rnacentral:rRNA from 1 species
UACGUAGGGUGCGAGCGUUAAUCGGAAUUACUGGGCGUAAAGCGUGCGCAGGCGGUUUUUCAAGUCGGAUGUGAAAUCCCCGGGCUUAACCUGGGAAUGGCAUUUGGGACUGCAAGGCUGGAGUGCGGCAGAGGAGACUGGAAUUCCUGGUGUAGCAGUGAAAUGCGUAGAUAUCAGGAGGAACACCGAUGGCGAAGGCAGGUCUCUGGGCUGACACUGACGCUCAUGCACGAAAGCGUGGGGAGCAAACAGG